rnacentral:ncRNA from 1 species
AUAGCUAGGGGUGCCUUUGGCUGAGAGAUAACAUUUCGUUAUUAACCCUUAAACCUGAUCUGGAUAAUACCAGCGUAGGAAAGCCU